CCUACGGGUGGCAGCAGUGGGGGAUAUUGGACAAUGGGGGGAACCCUGAUCCAGCGCCGCCGCGUGAGUGACGCAGUAUUUCGGUAUGUUAUGCUCUGUCAGCCUGGCAGAAAGAAAUGACGGUACCUGACCAAGAAGCCCCGGCUAACUACGUGCCAGCAGCCGCGGUAAUCCGUAGGGGGCACGCGUUAUCCGGAAUGACUGGGUGUACAGUGAGCGUAGACGGUUAAGUAAGUCUGGAGUGAAAGGCCGGGGCACAACCCCGGGACUGCUCUGGAAACUAUUGAACUUGAGUGCAGGAGAGGUAAGCGGAAUUCCUAGUGUAGCGGUGAAAUGCGUAGAUAUUAGGAGGAACACCAGUGGCGAAGGCGGCUUACUGGACUGGAACUGACGUUGAGGCUCGAAAGCGUGGGGAGCAAACAGGAUUAGAUACCCCAGUAGUC
rnacentral:rRNA from 1 species